rnacentral:lncRNA from 1 species
GCCUUCUCCUGUCUGCCACCACGUGAGAUGUGCCUUUCACCUUCCACUAUGAUUGUGAGGCCUCACCAGCCAUGUGGAACUAGUUCAAGAUUUCAACAUUUUAAGAUAAUCUGAAAAAAAUUGGAAUGUGCCCCCAGCUGCGCUACUGGUGACUUCUUCAACAGUUGAGAAACUGAACUAUGUGUUCAUGAAAAUACUCCAUCAUUAAAGUUUAUGCAAUACUCUCUCAACACUGUUUAUCAAAGGAACCAAUAUGGAAGGAAAAACAUUGCUUUGAAGGGAAGAUGGAUGGAUCCCCUAGUAAACUACAGCUUGAGGUGCAAUUUCCUAAAGUUCAAAUGCCUGAAAAAGGAAACGAAAGAAAGAAACUCAACUCUUGAGACAGCUUCAAUGCUAGCUUUGAUCUCAAUUAUAGAGUUAUUUAUGAAAAGUGCAUUUUUACAACUAAAAAUAAAUUAGGAUCAAAAGCUUCUAGAGGCUAUACUAUGGAGUGCUUAAUAAAAAGUUGAGUAAAGAG